rnacentral:lncRNA from 1 species
UCCACUCACUCUAACGUUAUUAAAUGUUUUCCCCUGGGCCCUCGUUUUAAAUUGCCCAGUCUGCAGAGUUCGGGUUGGAUCUAGUAGGAGACGAGGCAUAGUCACCCGCUUUUCGGCUAGUUUUCAUCAGUAGGUUACCUGUUCAACCUACUCGUGUUUUCUUGCUUCCGCUUGUGUUUAGUAGCUCUGAAUACUUUAGAAUUUUUGUAUAUUAUGUGAUGUUCAGAAGUGUAAUAUGAAAUUUUCGAGUUAGGGUUGUCCAUCUACAAGGGAGAUUUUCUUAAUCUUUUCAGUAAAUUUUCCUUGGAGGUGGUCCCCGCACGACUUAUUCUGGGUUUCAGGGUGAAAUUCGGGGUGGGUCGUGUCAGUUGGUAUCAGAGCUAUAGGUUUCCUUUUCCUGCUUCCUUGUCACUAUCACAUGUGCCUAAGUAGCAUGUAGUGUCUAUAGAGUGAUGAUCCGACCGCGGCGGAUUCAUUGGCAUUUUAUGCUUUUGAUACUAUGUGUUAUUGGGUAUAUGUGAUUAUUGUGUUAGUCUUGUUAUGGACUACUAAAUUUCUUCUUCCUCAGGUACUAUGCCUCCUAGGCGCCCACGGCAACCCCGUGUGGCUACUUCGACCAAUGCCGAAGAGGGCAAUGAGGUCAGGGGACUAGUUGAUGAUAUUGGAAAUAUCCUGAGGGAUGUCAUGGAUCGGGCUCCACGCCCUCCUACUGUAAAAAGGAGAGAAGUUUUUGAAGCUGGAGCCAGAGAGUUCAAGGGUGCCAAGGGACCCCUUGAUGCUUAUACUUGGGUGGACAAAAUGGAAAAAGCUUUUGUGAGCACAGAGUUGCCAGAUGAAAAGAAGGUGAAGAUGGCAGUAACUUUCCUGGAUGAUUCAGCACAUCACUGGUGGUCGCUUGCCAGCAGGAAUGUUGAGGAUGCGCUGAAUAUGUCGUGGGAACAGUUUAAGACUCUUUUCUUGGGGCAAUAUUUCAGUCCUGCCCAUCGCAGCAGAAUCAGUCAGAUUNNNNNNNNNNNNNNNNNNNNNNNNNNNNNNNNNNNNNNNNNNNNNNNNNNNNNNNNNNNNNNNNNNNNNNNNNNNNNNNNNNNNNNNNNNNNNNNNNNNNNNNNNNNNNNNNNNNNNNNNNNNNNNNNNNNNNNNNNNNNNNNNNNNNNNNNNNNNNNNNNNNNNNNNNNNNNNNNNNNNNNNNNNNNNNNNNNNNNNNNNNNNNNNNNNNNNNNNNNNNNNNNNNNNNNNNNNNNNNNNNNNNNNNNNNNNNNNNNNNNNNNNNNNNNNNNNNNNNNNNNNNNNNNNNNNNNNNNNNNNNNNNNNNNNNNNNNNNNNNNNNNNNNNNNNNNNNNNNNNNNNNNNNNNNNNNNNNNNNNNNNNNNNNNNNNNNNNNNNNNNNNNNNNNNNNNNNNNNNNNNNNNNNNNNNNNNNNNNNNNNNNNNNNNNNNNNNUAGUAGGAGACGAGGCAUAGUCACCCGCUUUUCGGCUAGUUUUCAUCAGUAGGUUACCUGUUCAACCUACUCGUGUUUUCUUGCUUCCGCUUGUGUUUAGUAGCUCUGAAUACUUUAGAAUUUUUGUAUAUUAUGUGAUGUUCAGAAGUGUAAUAUGAAAUUUUCGAGUUAGGGUUGUCCAUCUACAAGGGAGAUUUUCUUAAUCUUUUCAGUAAAUUUUCCUUGGAGGUGGUCCCCGCACGACUUAUUCUGGGUUUCAGGGUGAAAUUCGGGGUGGGUCGUGUCAGGUAUGCUAGCACUAUUCUAGUUUAACAUUACGCUCAUCUAACAUGAGCCUAACAACUAUGAAAUCUAGAAUAGAACUUAGGCAGAAAUAAGUACCUAAAACUUUGAAUAAAAGAAAAUAUUGUAUAUAGCCAAGCUAAAUACUUAUAGGCUCCUUACAAACGUAAGAAAAUUUGGCUCCUUAUAUAAGGAAAGAAAUUUGGAACAUCUUGAACCUACAGUGAAAAUCACAAGCCCAUGAUGCCUUUGAUUCAUAGCAAAGCCUGUAGUUGGUGUGAGCUCAAGGAAACCCAGCCCUUGAUUCCAGCCCAGACAACAGUCACACUACCAGCCAACCUCCAAGGCUGGGAAUGAGAAGAUGAGAGAUUCCAUAAGUUUAUGUACUAAGGACGACGUGAUUGGCUUGUCUGGGUUUGAAACUUUGGCACACUUUUCUCUUUUUUCUCGUGUUCAAGCUUUUCAUAAUUAGGGAGUUUUUUUUUUUUUCACAAAUACUCAUGUGGCAGUUUUGUGGGAUACAUAUGGCGCCACAUAAUCAUCAGUAGGGUCGAACCUGAGGCGAGGUCUAAAAAUGAUGUCUUCUAACACGCCAGAAUUAAAAAAAAAAAUCAUAGUUGAAAGAGAAACAAGAGACCACUACAAAACCGAGAAUUUUAACAUCACUGCUCAUCAUCAUCGCCAACAUCAAACUUUUCUCUCUCCCUUCUCUUCUCUUCGAAACCCAAUCAUAUCUCUCCUUUUUUUCUUUUAUUCAAAAACCAAAAACCCAAACAACUCCGACCAUUUCUCUCCUCUGUUUUUCAUUCAAAAACCCAAAACUCAAUCAGCUCCAACCAUUUCUCUCCUAUGUUUUUCAUUCAAAGACCCAGAACCAAAAAACCUAUAAGCUUUAAGCUUUAGCUUCUAUGGAGGAUCGUCCUUCUUGCUCACGGCAGCUGCUAGCUUUUGGUGCCCUGAGAAUUUUUGGGCCUGAGACAGUUGCCUUUUCGGCCUCACCUUAGAUCCGGGCCAGAUCAUCAUAUAUCAGACAUAUUAGUUGUUUAUAACCAUGUCAGCACUUGACAUAUUUUUUUAACAGCCUUGUUCAUCAAGGUAUGAAUUUGUCUAACGGAAUAAAGCUCGGGUAUGAAAACGCAAAUGUGGUAUGAAUUUGAAAGUGGCCCUAUAGUUCGGGGGGUCUUAUGUAAUUAAUUCUUUAUGGUAUUAAGUGCAUUGUCAUUUAUGGUGACAAUUGUAUGAGAAUUAGCUGCAUAAUCAAAUGCAUGUAUUGACAUAAAUGUGCAUCUAUAUAGUAAUGAAUCUGGAAUAAAUUGGUAACUUAUAUAUGAGAAAUUUAUAGUUGUAUAAUGAAUUGGCAUAAAUGCGCAUCUAUAUAGUAAUGAGUGUUGGCAUAAAUGCGCAUAUAUAUAGUGAUGUAUCUGGAAUAAAUUGGCAAUUUAUGUAUGAGUAAUAGGUGCAUAAUCAUACGUAUGUACAGUAAAGCCGUUAUAAAUGAAUAAUGUUGGGACCACGAAAAUUAUUACUUUAAAGAGUUAUUAUAUUAUUGGUAAAUAAAUAAUUACUCAUUUAAAUUGAUAUUAAUUACUUUAUAGAGAGUUUUGUUGUUAAGAGUUUCUUUAUAAUUCAGGGGGUCUUAUGUAAUUAAUUAUACUAUAAAUAGCUAAAUACAUGACUUCUGUUUUACACUCACAUUCAUGAAACAUUACAAUCUGUUAAUUUUUAAUCACCUCUCUGUAAUCAAUUAUCUGAGAAAAGUAGUACUCAGCAUGGAGACAUGGUUGCUCAUCCUCAGCUCCAUCUUUAUCUCUAUGUUCCUCAUGUUAAUUCUCUCUGUCCAUCCCAAGACGAAGCAGCUUCCGCCAGGACCCUUUACCAUCCCCAUAAUCAGCGGCUUUUUAUGGCUCCGCAAACCCUUCACGGAGCUUGAGCCAGCCAUCCGGAAUAUCCAGGCCCACUACGGCCCAAUUAUCACCGUCCAAAUUGGCUCCCAGCCCUCCAUCUUCAUCUCCAGCCGCUCCUUGGCCCACCAGGCCCUGAUCCAAAACGGCGCUGUCUUCGCCGACCGCCCACCAGCCUCGGCCACCACCAAAAUAUUCAGCAGCAACCAACACGAAAUCAACUCUGCCCCUUACGGCCCCACGUGGCGCCUUCUUCGCCGCAACCUCACCUCAGAAAUGCUCAACCAUUCUCGCUUGAAAUCCUACAACGGGGCUCGCAAAUGGGUCCUCAACAUCCUCGCCAACCGCCUAAUGAAAUCUCAAUCCAAAUCGAACGGAGUCAAAGUCAUAGACCAUUUCCAAUACGCCAUGUUCUCGAUGCUUGUACUUAUGUGUUUUGGUGAUAAACUUGAUGAGAAGCAAAUAAAUCAAAUACGACAUCUCCAAAGACCGCAACUGCUGACUAAUGGCCGGUUCAACAUUCUCAAUUUUUGCCCUUCAAUCACGAAAAUUGUAUUGAAGAAGUGGUGGGCGGAGUUCCUCCAGUACCGAAAAGACCAAGAAGAUGUCCUAGUCCCUCUAAUUAGAGCCCGGAAGGAGGCCAAGGUAAAAGAGGAGGGUGAAAAUUAUGUGCUAUCUUACGUCGACACGCUCUGUGGUCUUGAGCUUCCUGACAAGAAGAGGAAGCUGACUGAAGAUGAAAUCAUAAGCCUAUGUUCAGAAUUUAUGAAUGCAGGUGUAGAUACUACUACAACUGCAUUACAGUGGAUCAUAGCAAACAUUGUCAAGUAUCCAACGGUUCAAGAGCAGCUUUUUGUAGAGAUUAAAGGAGUUGUGGGGGAAACAGAGGAGGUGAGAGAGGAGGUCUUGCAGAAGAUGCCUUAUCUACAAGCAGUAAUCUUGGAGGGGCUGAGGCGCCACCCGCCGGCCCAUCUUUUGAGUCCGCAUUCUGUCACACAAGAUAUCAUUUUGGGAGGUCAUGUGGUGCCUAAGAAAGGCACGGUCAAUUUUUUGGUGGCGGACAUGGGGUGGGACCCAGAGGUGUGGGAGAACCCUAUGGAUUUUAAGCCGGAGAGGUUUUUGAAUAACGGAAAUUAUGAGUUUGAUAUAACUGGGAGCAAAGAGAUUAAGAUGAUGCCGUUUGGGGCUGGGAGAAGAAUUUGCCCUGGCCUUGGUUUAGCGUUGCUUAAUCUCAAGUAUUUUGUGGCGAAUUUGGUCUGGAAAUUCGAGUGGAGAGGUUUAGAAGGAGAGCAUGUUGACUUGACUGAAAAGCAAGAGUUUACCAUGGUCAUGAAGAAUCCAUUGAAGGCUCACAUUUCACCAAGAGUCGUGAAAUGAAUAAAGGGUUCUUGCUUCUAGUGUGUUAUUAACUUAUUAUGAGUUAAUUUUAUGAAAUUGUACGCAAGGGUGGUUUUGAUAUAUUAGAGAUAUGAGGGCUGAGAUGAAUAAUUAAAAUAAUGGUUAUUUUUAAUGGAAAUGUGCCAAGACUUUUUUUUUCAACAAGGUAAAAAGAAAACACACUCAAAUUGUGGUGACAUAACUAAGCAGGCAAGCUAGUACGUGCACCCGUCCUACAUCGCCCGGGGGAGACAAGUUGCCAUGUUUAUAUGUGCAGAACUAGCACCUUACAUUGAGACGCGUUUUGGGGUGAAACCUCAAGAACAAAACCGUGAGGGUCGUUGGGCCCAAAGCGGACAAUAUCUCAAUGGAUUGGGCCGGGCUGUUACACAAAUUACAAAAGCCCUAUUACAACCAACACCUAGGGAGUCAAAAUAGAAAGAAGGACUAGUUGCAAGAGGAAGGGAUUUCUUCUAAGCCUGCGUUCCAAGUUGAUGUCCCAACUUUGCAAUAACAUUAGCCACAAAAUUCGCUUCUAGAUGAAUAUGUGUGAAAGAUACUUGACCAAUAAGGUGCCAAGACUUUAUUAGUUGAUCGAGCUAGUAGUAUAAACACAAUUCACCCAUGAGGGGUGUCAAAAUAAAUUGUUUCAUAGAGGUCAGUACAAACUAAGGCAUGAAUAUAAUGCAUGCUAUUUUGAAAUAGAGUGAAGUAGAAGUAGUAAUUGAUUGAUGUAUAGGGAGUUCAAAACAUGGUGCCGCAAAAGUGAUAGUUGUUGAGCAUGUAAUAUGACAUAUACAUAAUAUUAUAUAAAAUCAUUUAAUUGAUGCUUAAAUUAUUUUAUUGUGAUAUCUUAGCCUUUGUAGAUUACUAGCAGAAGACAAAAUUCAUAUUUCUCUUAGCAAUGGAAGAGGAGUCUUUGAAUGCUAAGUUGCAAAAAAAUUGCUAAUAUCGUGCCUCAAACAUGGAAGAAGAGUUGUAGUUUAAUCAUUCGUCGGUGAGUCGCGGCCUGAUUGGUUAAGAUGUUAACUCUAGAACUUUUAGUUAUUAUUAUUUUUCUCUAAUUUACUAGAAACAAUAAGUAAUGGCUUAAUUUGGUUUGCAAGGAUUAGAGGGCAACAACCAUGAUUGAAUCUAAUUAACUUUUAAGAAAGCAGUUAGUUAGUUAGCUAAUGCCCUAAUUAUAAAUCUGGUUAUUUAUGAUAUAGGGGAUCGAUGAAGAAAUGUUUGAUGUUUUGGAAAAUAUGUUUAUCCAUUAAUAGCUCUAGUUGCACUUGGAACACAAUGAGGUAAAGCUCCAAGCUUCUUUUGGGUUAGUCAUAUUUUUUUUGUGUAAUGUUUUUCUUUAUAUUUGAUGAUGCAUCAUGCUUUUGUUUGUUUUGAAUUCGUUUAGUUUCUAGUAUUCUUUAGACAAACUUUAUUGACAAAUCUCUAAAUACAUAAUACACACCCUAAUUUUUCUACAAAAAAACAUAUAUAUUAGAAAAGAAAAUUAAAUUAAAAAUUAAUAUUUUUUUAUGAAGCCCGCACGGGCAAAAAAAAAAAGUGAUAUACGGAAUGUCUCUGUUCAAAACUUGUGUUUGUGAUUCUUGUUUAUUUUUCAAUAUUUGGUUGAUAUGAAUUUUGAUGUAUACGUAGGUUUAACUACGCUAGCUACCUAAAAGAGCCAACAACAUGAGUAACAACUAUAGACGUUCAUGACACAUAGUUCAUUACAAGACCGACUACUUAUAAGUCGUUCCUCCUGCUCUUUGAUACUUUAUAGUAAUAAAGUUCUAUCAGAUUCAGUAAGUGAAAAAUAAAAUACAACGCAACCAGAAUAUCAGAGCGAGGUAUAAAAUUGAUCCACUCUACCUAGAAUGUAGAACAUGUUCAUGAAAUAUGAACGAAUUGGCAAAAAAAAACUACGAGUGAUGCAGUGAAGCUAUUUUUGAUUAAUUUUCAAGGAAACUUAGAAGGGUGAUAAUAAUAGUAUACAGUACUUGUAAAAAUGUUCAUUUCGAUAUAUGCCUAUUUACUAUGUCGGUAGAACUUACUGUCAGUACUUGUCUUUUUUUUCAGCUCCAAGAGAUGGAAGUUUAACCAUAUAAUUCUAGAGAGCUUAUGGACUUCACUGUUGUUUCAGAUUUUGACUGGCCUAGGUUUCCAGAGGUUGAUAUUACCCUUCCUGAAGAGAUGGUAUGCAUUUCUAACUUUUAGUCGAAAAAAGUUCAUAUUGCUACAGUUUGUUGAAAAAUCUUUUUGUGUUUGAUUUUCGAUGUGGUCCAAAUUAGGAACGGAGUCGAAAGGCUUUUGAAGACAUGUACAAAUCUGAAACAACAAAACUUAAGAGACUUCGUUGACCUUAUUCAUUGGGGACAUGCAUUCUUAAUGCCACGUUUGAUGGACGAGACAUGCAUUGAAUUAAUUGCUUCAGUUCCUCAAAUAAGUUAUGUCAAUCACUUUUAUGGAGGUUUGUUUAUGGAAAUUGUUGCAUAAUGUCUGCUAACUUUUGUUAGCUGUUCACUAAUUUGUUCGUCAUUUUUUCAAGCUGUUUGAUAAAAUUACAUUUUUGAAUAUGUUGCGUUGUUGAUGCUGUUCAAUGAUGUAGAUAAGUUGAGCCGUUCAGAAAUAAAGGCUCGCUUGGGCAUUACUGGUGAUGUCUUCGUUAGUUUGGUCAAUUCUCUGUCACGCAUCAAGUGCAAACUUAUAGAUAUGGCGCAAACUGGAGAUCUAGUUGUGUUCAACUCUGAGUUCAGUGUGAAAAUUAAUAGACUUCAGGUUUGCCAUAUCUAUCAUUUUCCAUAUCAUUUGCUAUUAUAUAUUAGAAAUAUACUAAUUUCAAUUUUCCCUAUUUUAGCUCCUUUCCCACAAGUUGAUCGAUAAGAAGAAGGUGAUAAAAAAAGUUGAUAUGCAGAGGACUGAUAUGAUAGAUGCAGCACUUGUGCACAUUGCGAAGAGUAAAAAAGUUAUCGGUAAUACUGAAUUGAUCAAGGAAUGUCUCGAAGAACUAGAAGGUUUUUAGUUACAUAUUCAAUAUUAUGCUCUUCUUAAUGGAUAACUGCAACUUUCCAUAAGGUUUGUAUCAGGAUGUCCUAUUUGCAUUGGUUUGUGUCAAUGUGUCAUAUCUGCAUUUUCCUUUUCUUUUCUUUUUUUUUGUUGUUCUCUAAUUUCAUUACAAGUUUGAAAAAGAUGCUUCCUUGUUGUGGUUAAUGUAGUCGUUUCGGCUUAGUUUCUCUAAUUUUCCUUCUCUUUUUUGGCUUUGAUCAACUCAGAAAUAAUAACAAAUGUAAUCAUGAGAAUGAUAUGAAAAAAUUAGAUAGUUUUCAGUCAUGUAAAUGUGGCAGCCAAGUAUUAUAUAUGAACACUAUUUUCUUAAUUAUAUGUUAUAGUCACACACAUAUUUAGUUUCGGCAUAAUGAAACUGCAGCCCAGUAUCGAAGUGAUCGAGACACGGAUUAAAUAUCUGGUUGGACGUGAAUACAUAAAGAGAGUUUCUCAGGGGGGAGCGUCUAAAGUGACUUACCAUUACAUUCCGUAGAUUGCUCGAAGCGGUAGUGUUCUGUGAUGUGGUAGCAUUGUUUCGUCGAAGCAACUUUAAUUGAUGGUCUGAGAGCUUGUACUCUUAUUUCUAUAAUGAUUUGGUAUAGAGAUUUUGAUAAGGAGCAUUAAUUGUGUGAUCUAGUAGCAUUUUAUUUUUGUCUAGAGACUUCAACAGAUGGUUUGAGAGAUUUGUUUUGCUGUUUUGGUAUUAAGGAGUGUGAAUGAUAAUUUUGGUACAGUUAAAAGAUUUAUCAUCAGAUGUUGGUAAAUGUUCCGCUUACCUGGCAAAAUUGGUUAGUUCUUCUUGUGACGUUUUAUUGUUUGUUCCAUAUUCAAGGGGAAGACCAAAAGAAAAAGAAAAAGGAGAUAUUGACGUUUUUUUCCCUAUCUUUCUUGGUCUUGGAUCAGGAUAGAGGCUGAACAAAUUGUCUUGAUCAAAUGUAAGUUUCUCAUUUCAAGUUUUCAACUCAUUUUGGAUGAAAAUCAGAGACAUGAUAUUAUAUAUUACAAUUGAAAAUCAACACAAUAUUCAUGAUUCAUGUUCAAAUAAGGGAGUUUUUAAAAUUAUAUCCAGCAUAUAUAAGCCAUGUUUGAAUGAGAAAUUACCUUAAUGGUUAUUCUAUGUAUUUAUAUAUAGUUUUAUAACUAGCAAAGAAGCACAUCAAUCUAUAUAACCCCUGCUUCAACUGGCAUGUAACCAUCAAUAAAAUAUUCCACAUGGCUUAGUAGACAAAUUUUGGGAUCCGAAAUUAGCAUGAUUCAAUUUUGUGAGAGGAAUUCCCAGCAUAUAUGAAUUUACAAGAUAGUUUCCAUAUUUGCAGCCUAAAAAGAGAUUAAGUUGUAAUACUGAUCAGCAUGGCUGGUCAUGAAAUUCUUAAAGCCUGAGGCGAAGAAAAAAAAAUGUGGCCUUGUAAACAUAUAUACAUUUUUUUGUAAUAAAUUGCUAUAAAAAAUAAUGUGUUGUUUCCAUAUUUACAGCCUAAAAAGAGAUUAAAUUGUAACACUAAUCAAGAUCAGCAAGGCCGGUCAUGAGAUUCUUAUAGCCUGAGGUGAAGAAAAACAAUGCAGCCUCUUAAACAUAUAUACAAUUUUUUUUUUUGCAAUAAAUAGCUAUAAAAAUAUAGCAAACCACAUAUACCUUUUCUAAAAAGAUUUGAAACACAAAAACAUCUAUUUAUAAUUUUAUAUUGUUUUUAAACAAAUAAGGACAGACUGUUUUCUGUUUUAUCAUGUGUCAUAGUUUAAUUUAUCAAACUAACCUUAUACAUAUUAAAUUAAAUUAAAUCACACCCCAUCACGUCUUCUUUUAGCUGCUAUUAGACUUGCUGAAAUGUUGUUGCUACUGUCGAUUGGAAUGUUGCUGCUACUCAAUUGAAUUAAAGCUGCUACUAUCUACUGAGAAACUCAUUUUAAGUUAUGCUACUGCAAUCAUGUUCUGCUAUUUUGCUACUGCACUCCCCAAACUCGUAUUUGUAUUGUUGUGCUACUACAUUAUUACUCGUUCGAGUCUGCUACUGUACUCAUCAUUAUUACCCAGUCAUCAUCCCUGCUACUUGUCAUUGAAUACAUCAUCCCUACUACUGCACUCAUCUCAUGUUGCUGUGCUACUACACUUAUUAUACUCAAGUUCUCAUCAAUUUCAAAAUGGAGCAACCUUGAGAGCAACCAUGUUAAAUGCUCAUCUAUCCCCAAAUAUCAUAACCUACAUUUAUACCCAUUACCCCAUACUAUUACUCCAAGCCUCUCAACCCACACGCUAGCUCACAUGCACUACCUUAACCAACACCAACAUUUCUUUCUCUCUGAAGUAUCAAACUUCUUCUCCUAAUACAUAAUAGCUGCCUUUUGCUUAAUUUUCACAUUGGUUCCACUCAUCGUCGUCCCUUCAAACCAAUCGGAAAGGUCAUCGGCAAAGAAGGCAUCCAGAAGUUUCAUGAAGCGUGCAAGGCUUCCAUCAAUUGCCAAUGUCAUGAACCCAUAUCUGAUAUCAUCACCAACUUGAUCCAUGAACCGAGGUGCGAUCUCAAGUUGGCUUGAGGCAUCUUAGCCCCUUGAGCCCAGGUAACCGAGGUGCGAUCUCAAGUUAGCUUGAGGCAUCUCAGCCCCUUGAGCCCAGGUCGAGCUAUCCUCAUAUCACAGAUUUGUCGAGAGAGAGAGAGAGAGAGAGAGAGAGAGAGAGAGAGAGAGAGAGAGAGAGAGAGAGAGAGAGAGAGNNNNNNNNNNNNNNNNNNNNAGAGAGAGAGAGAGGAGAAUCAGAUCAUCAGUUUGGGAAGAAAAGGAAUACAUUGUGGCAAUGUUGUGAUUUUGUUGUAAAUUUGACCAUUUUGGUAAUUUUUAGGCUUUCUGUUGUUGGAUUUGGCCCCACACGCAUGUCAUUUUUUGUUUAAAUCUUUUGAAAAGUAGGUUUUUUGACUCCAUACUCCAUCAUGACCCAAAUCUCAUUUCUCUUACAUCGUCUAUCUGAUAUGAACAGUUUAGAGCAUCUCCCAUGGUAAGCUAAAUUCUUAGCCAAAUUUAACCUAUAAAACAAGAAUAUUCUGUGGAAUCUUUUUUUAGCUUACCAGAGUUUCCCACCGUAAGCUAAAUCCUUAGCCAAAUUUAUAGCCUUUUGGCUUUAAAAAACACUCCCACCAUAAGCUAAAUCCAAAGGUAAAGCCAUUUGUUUUUCUUUUCUCAUAUGUUUGUUUAAAUCAAUAAUUACUCAUAAAAAAAAUAUUAUAUAAAUAUAUUCGAUAUGGAGCUCAUAUGAAAGAUCUCGUCGAGAUCAUCGUGAUGGUUGUAAGUAACGAAUUUUUAAUUUUGAUGAUAGUGUAAAUUAAAAGGAGAAAUGUAAAGUUAAAUAAAAUAACAUUUAAUUUUAGCUUACAAACUUCAUAAACCAAAUUUGGCUUACCAAAUAGCUCAAGCCAAAUUUUUUAUCUUGGAAAAUGUAAUUUAGCUUAUGGUGGGAGUAAACAUAGGCUAAAUUUGGCUUUUCAGCCUAUGGUGGGAGAUGGUCUUAACCUAAUGCCACUGUCUAUCUCAUUUCUCCUACAUCGUCUAUCUUAUUUUGUUUCCUCUGAAGACCCCAAGUGCCAUCCUACCAUCCCUAAUGCCAUUUCCAACCGGCAGCUGAAUUUCUCGAACCUCCUCCUCUGCUAAAAGGAGAGACAUAAUCAUCAACGAUUCACCUCUGAGUCUAUACAUCAACCAAUGAAGCCCUCCAUUCAACAAGAUAGCAUGGAAACUUUUUGGGUUAUUGUAAGGAAUAGCUUGUCAAUCCUUCGCCAAGAAUUAGUUUUCAAGGAAUAGAUAGACAUGAAACACAAUUAGAAGAUCAAGAGGAUCAAUCAUAUUCAUAUGUAUCUCUCCAUUGACCACCUUGUAGUUGCCGUCAGCAAAUCCAAACCCGAAGAAGAAGUUUAUUUGACCGAAGUUUUGGACAUAACGCGGCCGAAUUAUGUGCUUGGAUUUCCUGGUUGUCGGGUUGAGUAGACAUAGCCUUGACCCAGCUAAGUAGCACAACAACAAGCCGUUGCAAUGAAACAUCUAGUAAAGGUUGGCAGUAAACUCGGUCUUUCACCAAAUACAUGGGAAAGAUAAAGGGGAAGUGGCCUACACUUUUUUGCUCCACCGGCAAUAUGGCGAUCCGUAUAUAUGACUAUGUCUUUGAUAAAAUACAUACUCGUUCUGUAUGGCUCUAUCACGGUGCCUUUUGAUAAAUCCAGGGUCAGAAAUCAAAUCACGUAAUGGUUUUAAGACACAUUUGAAACGACACAAGGUUUUCACUAGAAGCCAUGAAAGAAUCUCGUCCAAGAUCUCCAGUGGAAGACUUAUUUUGCCAUUACGGUUAUGUUUUUCCAUAAUCGAUUCUCUUCUGGUCAUGUAGCUAGCUAGCUAGCUAGCUAGUGUCUUCCUAACAAUGGCGGUUCCUCGAUCUUUAGUCACAUGCGAAGGUUUUGUCAUUUUAUCGAUUUAGAUUGCUAGUUAUUUUGGAAUCUAUCUGAUCAGUAAGAGCAACUUUAACGGACUCUCUAUUUUAGCUUUUUGCUAUUUAGAGAGCUUAUUUAGCUUUUUUGGAUGUUUUAAGAGCUCUAGUAGACUAGCCAAACUUAAGCUAUUAUAACUUUUAGCUAUCUCGCUAGCUAUAUUUAGCUAGCGAGAUAGCUCAAAUGAGGCUAGCUAUAAUUUAUUACAUUCCUUGUAAGAUAUUUUAUGUGAUAUAUAAUUAUAUUUAAACUAUUUAAUUUCUAUUUGAAGAAUAAUGUUGAUGUAAUGCUAGCUAAAAUAGAGAGCAUUGAUGCAGCCAUAUUUCUAAAGUGGCUAGCCAAAAUGACAUUUUAGCUAAUUUGACUAAAAUUUAACUUAAAAAAGACUAGCAUUGCUAAAGAUGCUCUAAGACGGGAUUGGAAGUCUUAUAUAUAGCUUCUUUUCUUUCUUUGUGUGUGCGCCAAGGUAGGACGGUUGUUCACUUGAAUCGGGUUUGGGGUCGGGUUCGGGUUUAGUCUCCUCCUUAUAUAUAUGUAUGUAUGUAUUGUUUCUUAAUUAAGCUCACAUAUCGAUAUCCGAAUGAACUAGGAAUAGGAAAUCCUAACCUAACAUGCAUGGGAAAACAAAUUAUUAAUUAGUAUUCAACUAGGAAUUAAAGGAAAAUACACAGGAAAACCAAAACCUAGAUCGAAGGCCUAGCUAAUAUAUUAAGGAGUUAUCUCUUUAAAGAAACUGUUUUCAUAACUAAUUUAUUUUCUGGGUUUUUGUUAUAUUAUGAACAAGAACAUAGUCUUUUUUUUUUCUUUUUUUCUUUUUUCUAUGUCUUGGUUAUUUUUAUUGUAAAACGAUUUAGUUGUUUAGACUUUAAAUUCUAUUUUUUACUUCUUUUCUUUUAAUUUGAUUUGUUAUGAAAUUACUAAAAUUAAACAAUGACAUGUCACUUGUCACGUCAAUUAUUUAUAUGUUGACAUUAUAUUAACAAUUGAUCUGAACCCUUAAAUGUUUUAAAAUCUAAUGGUUAAGAAAUGAUGUCAAAAUUUGUGUCAAAUUUGAUAUCUCUUAGAUCGGAUCCUUUAUUUUCUUAUUAACUUUUAACUUUGUUGCUGUUUUUGUCGAAAGAAAAACUCUGUUGCUGUUUUGAGUAAGUUCUUUCCACUCCACGUGUAACUGUAAAUAGGAAAACUUACCCAGUUAGAAAUGUACCCAAUACGCACUGGCAGUGUGGAGCACGCGCUGGUAUAGUAAUAAAAACCUGAUAACGCGCGGCGAAAACCAAUUCGGAAAGAGAAAGGGGUGUUUGCCUACUUGUAGCUUUGCGACCUCUCUAUCUCUCUCUCUCUCUCGGAGAAGAGGACCACCCCUAAUUUUCAGCACCAACCAAAAACUCCCCCCAUCUUCUUUUUAACCCAAAAAAAAAAGAACCAAAAUUCUCUCUUCUUCUCCAUCCUAGGGUUUCCCAAUUCGCCAUUCCCGAAACCACAUUUCAUACUACGGCUUCGGUUCUCCACGGGCAUUGCUCCGAGCUCUCGGAUUGUUUCCGGUUACGGAUUCGGAUGCUCCGAUUUUGUAAUUCGGGGGCGGACUCAGGUGAGCUUUUCGGUUUUGAAUUUGAACUAUUUUGGAGCGGUUUGAUCAAAGCGUGUACUGUAGCUUCUUUGCUUGAGCUUGUUUUUUUGCUGCUGUUAGGGUUUUGGAUUAUUGUAUAUUGUUGCAUUUUCGGACAUGAUCGUGAAUUGCUGCUAAUUUUGUUAAAAGGCUCUUAAUUUACUGUUUAUAAUGGUGAAUUGCAGCUGCAUUGUUUUUGAAAGAUGUUGUUUGAUAUAGCGUGGUAAUGUUUUGGUGGAUGAUGUGUGUAGGAAUUUGUGCAUGGACUAGUUCGGCUGCGGUGGGAGAUAGUGCUGUUGACUGGUUUGACAGGUCUCGAUGGUUUGCUCAGUUGGAAGUGGGAGGAUGGCAGUGAUGGCAAGGCUUCUCGCGGGUGGGAGUGUGUCGCAAAGCCUUGCAGGUAGACCUUUUUGGAAGCUAGUGGUGUGUUGUGUUUUAUUUGAGUUUGCACACUUAUGUUCUGUCUAUACUCUAUACUUUACCCUACUGGCUGUCUUUUGAUUGUUUUGUUUCAUAUUUAUUCAUCCGGACAGAGGAUGUUCCUCAUCAGAAAUUCGCGGUAUAUAGAGAAUUAAUUGAGGCGAAUGAUGCAAAUUUGCUUGACGAAGAAGGUAAUUCUAAAUUCUCUCAUCAUGCAUAAAAACCUACUAUACAGUACCAUAAAUAUGAUACUAAAUUCGAUGGAUGCGUAGUGGAUGUUGUGGGCAGUAGCACGAGUAUUGUGCAUAUACUAUGAAUUAAAGAUAUGGUAGUGUAUAUGCAUGUGCUGCCUUGACUGAAGUAUGAAAGUCUAGAAAACUUGGAUAAUGUUUUGCUGCUAAAUUUUGCAUCUUGGCAUUCAUAACUCCUUUGUAACAUUUUAUGAUUUCACUGAAGCUUUUCAGAGCUCGUUGUUUCAUACACUCUUGAUGUCUUCCAUUUGGGUCUGCAGAUAUGCACGUGUUUGAUUUGGAGCCGAUGACUGAUACUUUGCUUUUGGUAAGCGCAAAAUCUUUUAAGUUGCUUCUAUCUCUGUCUGUAGCCUUCCAUACUUUAAAUUUACAUGGUUGAAUCUUCAGGAAAGUUUGCUUGUGAUUUCUGGUGAUUUGUAAGGAUUUAUGCAUGUUAGAUAUGAUAUUUUCUGUUCUUCAAUGUCAAAUCGUUGGUCUAUGUUUCACAUUUUCAUCAGUAAGAAAGGAAACCGCUGCCUGAAUGACCUUACUGAUUUGCCUAUCUAAUUGAAACUUAGUGUCUCCAUGUGCUCAGUCUACUCGUGAACUAUAACUUAUUAAUAUUUUUUUUUCAAUUGCAUUGUGAAGGUAUGUUGCAAUGCUUGUAAAAAACCAGUCAAGGCUAGUCAAUAUGCAGCCCAUUCAGGUUUGUAGGUUUCUCUAUUGUCCAUUUUUUAUUUGUAUCCAUAUACACUUUAUUUUAUUUUCUGUUUCCCGUGUGUAUACCUGUGUUGUCCCAUUGUUCUUUUGUAUUAUUUUUUUUAUCAGUCCUUCGUCUCUUUAGUCGCUCAUCGAAUAUAUGGGCUAUAAAUCAUGAAGUAACUACCCUCAGUCAGUCAAUCAGUCUAAAUCCCCUCAGAACUUAACCUAGUGAGUAGCUGACUAGCUGGGACUGAUCCCACACCCUGGUACAGUUCCAAGAGAUUUCCCAACAGCUGCCCGUAUCAAUUUAGGUUAUACCUGAGAUUUCACAACUGCUUAUCUUUUAGGGAAACAUCCGAAUCAUUCUAUUAGAAACCUAUUUGAUGUGAAUUAAUAAUAGUCUAUAUAUUGGGUUUUCUUCAGGCAUUCACCACUCAUAUGUCUUGUAUAUUAUCAGUUGCAAGCUAAGCCCAAUUUUCUAAUCAUGAUCUUUUAAUCACAACAACGUCCUUAACCAUGUUUGUUAGCCUGCAAUUGCAUGUAGGAUAUAUUUAUUUUAUUUACUUAUUAUUAUUAUUAUUAUUAUUAUUAUUAUUAUUAUUAUUAUACUUUUUCGACUAAUAGAUUACUUUCUACUCUUUACAUGUACUUUGUGCUGGCUGUAUGCUGAGAUCAAGUGUGUUUCAGUACUUUGCAGGUCAUUAAAUUCUACGAAGGAAACUAAUUUGGAAGUUGGUGCUGCUAUUGAGCAAAAGAAGCCUCCAAGGAAGGAGAAGAAAAAGUUAUCAACUGCAUAUGCUCGUAUCCUUAAAUAACUUCAAUGGUAAUUUAGUGUUUUCCUGCAUUUCAGGCAUUUCUACUGAUCUCACACCAUUGACAUAAUGCUUUUUAUUUGAGCCAAGGUGGUUAGCUUUCCCAAGAGUUUUAAGAGAAUUUAAGAUGCUCAUUGUUUUUGAACAAUUUUAGAAUGUUUUGCCAGUAUCAUCUUAAAGGUAGUUUGCCAGGUUUCCCAAGUGAUUUCUGAGCCAGACGCUAGGUUUGUUUACUUGUUGUGACAAUUUGAUAGUUCUUAACCUUUCUUAGAUCAGUCAACAUCAGUUAGAGAGCUCGAAAGGUCUGAAUCUGCAGAUGAUGUUGCUGUGUCUCAACCUCAGUUGGAUGGGAAAAUAGGAAUGAAUUCUUUUUGUGGUACAGGCGGAAAAGGUAACUCUUUAGUACUUACAGUCUAACUGGUGUACAUCAGUUUUAUAUGAUGUUUAAUAUUUGUUUGUGUUAACUUUCUAUUUUGUUAUAAUAAGCUAGUCCAAUUAGUCUGCAAAUUGCAAAUGUGGGAAGGUUUUGUUAUUGGUUUCCCAUUACAGGAAAAAAAAAUGAAGAAGAAAUUGGAUAGAGAAAUGGUAGAGGUCAGGGAUAUAGGAAACAAAAUGUAUAGAAUGGUUUAAAAAUUUAUUUUAUUUUUUCUCCCCAUUAUUGUUCAUCCCUCCUUUUUCCAUCUUCCUCAUUAUUUAAUAAUGAAUCCCAAAAUAUUAAUAAAUGAUGCUCUAGUUUGUUCAAUUACCUUGUCAUAGUGAAACAUCUUUUGGUUCAUUAUUCCUGCUUUUGUCUUCUGGGUGGCCUGUCACUCGUGCAAGUCAUCUGGACUGUUAGUUUUAUUGGUUCUAUUUCAUACUUUGAUGUUUCAUGAGAAAUAAAUAAAAGGAUUAUAUCACUUCUGCCUACAUGUUGUGCUUCAUUAGACCAGAUUAGGAACAUUUGAUAUGAAUUGAUCAGUGAUAUGAGCUGUAUAAUGUGAGUCACGUGUCAAUGUCAAAGUUAUAUCCAAGUUGUUUUCAUAAACGGAAUUAUUUCACCUAUGCUAAACAGUGGCAUAUAGAGGAUGGUGUGAAUCUAAAGAUUCUCCCUGUACUUCAGGUCUUUUUGAUGUCAUUAGCAAUGUGAUGGUAGCAUUUUUAAGUUGGUUUCUUUUCUCUUUACCUUACAUUCAGUCUCCUACAUUUAUUUAAUAUUUUUUCUUCGCAAAUUCGGGUAUAGAUGUUUAAACUUUCUAUAUAUAUAUAUAUUUGGAAAAGGCAUGUAGUCUGGAUAAUUUUAUGCUGCUCAACCUGUAUUGGAAUUUCUUCAUUCAUCUACUGCUCCAUAUAGGAAACUCAGCAUCUGUAGAUACAACCUAUAUGUAGUCUAGAUAAUUUUAUGCUGCUCAACCUGUAUUGGACUUUCUUCAUUCAUCUACUUUUCCAUAUAGGAAACUCAGCAUCUGUAGAUACAACCUAUAUGAUGGAUGGCUCAGGAGUUAGCCCUGAUAAUACCAGGUACUCAACAAGUCUGCUGCAUCCUCCAACAAAACGGUUUAAAAUGUAAGAUUUUAAACUUAUGGCAGUUCAUUAUUUUGAAUUUGAUUAUAUGAGUAGGACAAUAAAUGAGUAGCUUACGUUUAGCAGUAUAUUGCAUACUAACUGCCCUGGCUCUGUUAGUUAGUUUUUUGGUUCUCUUAACUGCUCUGAUUUUAUGCUCAGCCAAAUACUGUUCUGGCAAUUUUUACUUUCCUCUUCUAAGGGAGAGAGUACUGAACUCUGUGUUUGUGGGUAAUUUAGAGAAAUGUAGUCUUAGCGGAUUCAAGAUUUAUGAUUUAUCCUUUACUGAGGUAGAAACAGUGUUCAGAUAAUGGGUGCUGAGUACUGUGAUCUGUGUGGAAGCUUUUUUAAUUUAUGUGUGAAUCUAUAGUUCCUUUGGCUUCUCAUGCUUUUAUUACUGUGGUAGACUUGAAAUCCUUUUUCACCCUCUUGUAGGAUAGCAGGUGAGCAGCCACAGCCACCACUAUCAGAUGAUCUGGGAGCAACAUCUAUUGUAUCAGAACUUAGAAGUGCUCAGGAAACAUGUCCAUGUGAGGCUAAAUUCUUAGUUUCCUAAGUAAAAAAUUCCUUGGUAAAGUUAGGCUUAUGGAAAUAUUUCUGAAAAAUAUUGAUUCUCAAUAAUGAAAUAAGUAACAAAUAUAGGGUAUCAAUAUUCUUAGUUGUUGCAGGUCUGGCUAAGGUGAAAUUAUAGGGGACAUACAAUGAUAACUUUUGUAUGCUGAGCUACCCUCAUUAAUUAGGAAUAAGAUUACCACAAUGUGCCAAAGUAUGAGAACUUGGAAUAGUUGGUUUAUGGCUCGAUUGACACAAAUUCAAACAGUUUUAUUUUCCAGCCCCUCCUACGCAGCUGAAAAAAAAAUUGUAGAAAGAAUAACAGGUGGAUUUUUGUUUUUUUUUUUUUUUUACUUUUUUGUACUGACUGACUGACUNNNNNNNNNNNNNNNNNNNNNNNNNNNNNNNNNNNNNNNNNNNNNNNNNNNNNNNNNNNNNNNNNNNNNNNNNNNNNNNNNNNNNNNNNNNNNNNNNNNNNNNNNNNNNNNNNNNNNNNNNNNNNNNNNNNNNNNNNNNNNNNNNNNNNNNNNNNNNNNNNNNNNNNNNNNNNNNNNNNNNNNNNNNNNNNNUGGAAAGUUUAUCAUGAUUAUCCUUCUUUUCCUAUUAUCUAUCUUCUGUCUGUUCUCUGUUCAAUGGUAGCUGAAAAAUGAGUUUAUUAUCAGAUUGUCCUGUUCCCCUUGCUACUAAAGUAUAUUACUCGCAAAGAAGUAAUCGUCUCCGUACAGCACUUUGUCAUCUAUACUCUGAGGCAGUUGUAUCAAAUAAGGAGCUUUGCACUGUCAUGGUGAGCUCAAACAUAUGAAGAUUUUGAUUGAACUGUAAACUUUUACUGAGGAACAACUAAUUCAUAGCUGUCAUCACUUUAAUGAUAACAGAGGGACACGCAGUCUUUGCCUUCUAUACAGACACCUGAUCAAAUUCUCUCACAAACUUCAGAAGCUUGCUUGGACAAAUCAAUAGGUUCCCUGCCUGCCGAUGACCUCUCAAAUCAGUUUCCUGUUGAUAAUGUUCCGAGGCCUCAGGCUGCAGGUGUAGGUUUGACAAGAAGCAAACUUCUUUCAAAACCUUAUUCUUUUGCAGGUAGCUCAGGUAUUCACUAUUUCUUUGUUAUAUUUGUAACUUCUCAUUUUUCAGUAUUUUAUUUGUCAGUGUAGAACUGUAGAUUAGAUUUUUACUGUUGAUAUUGUAACUUGUUAGUACAAUCAUGUUAUGGAUCAUGUCAUUGGUUUUGCAGGACAAUCUUUGGGAACUUUGCAACAGCGAAAUGACAGAGUUCCUGUUGUAUAGGAGUCAUGCAGAAACUUUUAGGAUCGGGGAAGGUGUUACUUGACCAAAUACGUGAGUUUAGAAAUUAGGAUUCUUUUUUUAUAUUGACUGAGGAAAUCAUUGAAAUCCAUUCUAGGCCUCUGCAUGAUUGUUAAUCCAUACCUAUGUUUAGAUGCAAAUUGCUCUCCGAACAUGUGUAAAUCUGUGUUUUUGUAAAUAUGAAUUUUACUUGUUCCAUGCAUUUUUGUUUACAUUUUCACUUUGCUAUAAUUCCUAUCUGCAUGGAGAAAUGAGGAAAAGGUUUAAAUGCUUAAAAAGGCAACAUGCACAUUGCCUUUCCCCUUGGUUUAUAACUGGUUUUCCAGUUAUGAUAAAGGUUUUGUGAGGGGUAUCUUACUAUGUGUCAGGUUGUGUAUAUCUCAUGACCCAAGUAGCAAUAAUGAUAAUGGUCAUUUCACACUAUUGUUUUCACUUUCUUAUCAUCUAUAGUAGAAAUAUUAUAAAGUCAUAUUGAUUGCAUUAGCGACAAUACCAAUAUAUAAAAGAUUAGUAUGUGAGUUUUGGAAUUUUUAUUUUAUUUUUUAAAUUAGAUAAAUAAAUGAUGUCAAUCAUAUAUGCAAGUAUGUUCCUUGAUGUCAUCCUUGAGUAUACAAGUAUAUGCUCAAAACUGCAUCUUAUUGUAAUGUGGCUGUCCAAAGAUGUUAGAUGGAGACAUGUUUCUUCAAUUCAAUUUGAAAUUAAGUGGGAGUUCUCAGAAUAUCAGUUGCUAGGACCAAGUUUCUAUCAAUGAGAAUGUCACAAGUGUUGAGAUAUAAAUCCCACAUCAGGAAUAUAAAACCUUGUCUGUGGGUUCAUAAGGGUUUGGGCCUCUCUAUCCAUUGCGAGUUGAUUUUGGACAUGAACCCCAGACUAUUUUAUCAACAAGACUAAUGUGUGACAGCAAUAGAGUUAGACAGCUUCUUGUUAGUUUGUGCUAGGAAUGUCUAAAUAUCUUGGUCUUCUACUUUCAGUGAGCAGCUUGCCCUCUUUUCCAUUGAAAUAUCUACUCUCUGGUUUUGCUGAAUAGAAGGGGAUGGUAAACCCACUACGCAAAACGUUGUGGCAAAACGAGCUCUGCCUUCUUUUUUGUUUUUGUUUUGGACGGAGAGGAUUGUCUGUGUAUUAACUAACAGGAUUCCGUCCACACAUAAUGUCAUUUUGCUUGGUAGCACAUUAGAGGCUCACUCACACAGUGGCUUUCAAAAAGCUUGCCUAUAUGGCAUGAAGUUUUUUUUUAGUAACAUAACACAGUUUUUAAUUGUAGAACUGAAGGUCUAUGCCUCACACAGUUUUUCAUCCUACUUUUCAUUCCGAAUAGCAAGCUUGGUAUGUCCAUUUAGUUGAGUCUUAAUAUCAAAGACUUCCUUCAUUCAUUUACUAUUUCUAUAGGGAACUCAGCACCUGUAGAUACAACAUAUAUGAUGGAUGGUUCAUGCGUUGAUGAGUAAUGAGAUCUGUGUGAAAAUCAUUGGCGCCUUCGGCUUCUCAUACUAAUUUUUUUUGUUAUGGUAGACUUGAAAUCCUUUUUUCAUCCUGUUGUAGUAUUGCAGUUUUGCUACUACCAAAACUCAGAAGUUCGUUGGCUGAUGGAAACUCAAAAGUCUUAUUCUCAACUGUGAUCGAACUAAGUAACAAAACAUCUGGUAGCAAUAAUCCAAGUUGAGCCAAGGUAAUAUGAAAGGGGAGUUACGAAGAUAACUAUUGCAUCCAAUGCUACCCUCAUUACUCAAUUGGGAAUAGUUGGUCUGUGUCUUACUUGCACAAAUUAAAACAGCUUUUGAUUUCAACCCCCCCCCC